AACUGGUCUGUGAUUUAGGUAGUUUCCUGUUGUUGGGGCUCCACCUUUCUCUCGACAGCACGAUACUGCCUUCAUUACUUCAGUUG
ensembl:miRNA mdo-mir-196b mdo-mir-196b